rnacentral:rRNA from 1 species
GACGUAGGGGGCGAGCGUUGUCCGGAUUAUUGGGCGUAAAGCGUGCGUAGGCGGCUGCGCAAGUCGGUUGUGAAACCCCGGGGCUCAACCCCGGAACUGCAUCCGAUACUGCGUGGCUAGAGGUAGGUAGGGGAGAUCGGAAUUCCUGGUGUAGCGGUGAAAUGCGCAGAUAUCAGGAGGAACACCGGUGGCGAAGGCGGAUCUCUGGGCCUUACCUGACGCUCAGGCACGAAAGCUAGGGGAGCGAACAGG